GUAUUGUGGAAAGGUUCUGGUUAGAUGGUUCUUUAUUCCUGUGAAUGCUGCAGGCAUGGGGAUAUUCAGGGACUCAUUAUUGUUCCCUAUGGAUCUGCUCCAGUCCUCUUCAAAGGCGGAAGGUGGUGGAGCCAGCAACGUGAAUUCCUCAGGAGAGAUUUUGGGCAGGACACCAAACCCAAUGAACAUUCACUUUUAAUGCAGUCUAGCAGCAGAUGGUCUGAAACAGCCCAUGGACUCACUAUCUCUUUUGAAGUCCAAAAUGAUACUAACCAGCAGAAGUGAAGAUAAUGAGCACUAACGGACUACUUAUUCAUGAGCUGAAGAUGAAUAUCCUGUUUCCUUGCACAAGGAAGCAGCAAGCGGACAGGUAAGAAAGCCCAGAAAGAAGAUUCCGCAAUACGGCAUGAAGACUCACAACAAACUCGUACCUUCCCAGCACAGUGAUGACCUCAUCAUGACCACAUGAUCAUGACUGAAAUUAUGAAGUUCCACCAGGAAACUGGAUUAAAAUUUUAAGAUAGUGUGUUAAAUAAAAAUUGAAACAGUGGCAAAACCUGUAUAAGGUAAAUUUGCUUAAAACAUGACCUUAUAGAAGGGUGGUAGAUCAAACUGAGAUUUUGGACAAAUAAUAAGACUUGAUUGGAGUUUAAUAGACGUAUUAAUGGAUGACUCCCUCCCAAAAACUCAGGUACACUUUUGUUUAUCUGAUGUUAUAGGACUCUGGUACAACUACAGAUAUUUGCCAUUUAUAAUUUAUUAGGUUUUCCAUACUAAAUGAAGAGGCCUUCCACAGAUUAGUAAGAUUUCAUUCCCUAUCUCUAAAGGUUUAUUUACCUAAGAUGUACCCUAAGACAUGUUUCAAUUUGGAGAAUUAAGAAUCUUGAGGCUGAGAUUAACCUCAUUGUCAGAGGUCCCAUCUGUGACUAAAGGUUUUCUCAGGAAAAAAGGUGUAAUUUAGGUAGCUGUUGUUUGUGUUCUAUUUUUUCUUUUCUUUUCCUUAGCAGUACCGCAACAAUCAUAGUUAGUCACUGCUUAACUAGUCAUUUUGCUUCUCUAAUUGUGAAAUUUCCUGAGUUGUACAACCAAAUUCCAUGACGAUUCCAUCCGUGAGUUUUUCUUGAGAGACAAUUAAGACUCGCCCUGCUGUGUCUUGUUUCUCUAGGCCCUUUUUGAUAAUCUUCUGGAUAAAAUUCCUUGAUGCUUAACUGUAUGAAGCACCUUCUUCUGCUCCUAAUAUCUCAUCUAGGAAACCAAAUAAGUAAUCCUCAGUGUAAUUCAUUAGGAAAACAUUUCUCUGUGAAUGGGCUGAGUGAGCAAGGCUUGAACAAUUGAAGUUGGAUUUUACAAUCCAGCUUAUCUGCAAUGAUGUUACCAUACAUGAUCCACAUAACUUUGAAAUAUUUAAAUCUUGAAAUUGAUCUAUUGUUGUUCAUUCUGCUCUAUUAUGUCACAGCUUGCUUUUUGUCUCUCACAGUGCUCUCAUGGUAAAAGGAAGUAAAUACACUCAUGCUUUAAUAAGCGAUUA